rnacentral:rRNA from 1 species
CACGUAGGCGGCGCGACAGGUCAAGGGUGAAAGCCCCCGGCUUAACCGGGAACUGCCUUUGAAACCGUCGUGCUUGAGCGGAAGAGGGGAGAGUGGAACUCGCAGUGGAGCGGUGAAAUGCGUAGAUAUUGCGAGGAACGCCGGCGGCGAAAGCGACUCUCUGGCUUCUUGCUGACGCUGAGGUGCGAAAGCUAGGGGAGCAAACG